rnacentral:rRNA from 1 species
AUUGAACGCUGGCGGAAUGCUUUACACAUGCAAGUCGAACGGCAGCACGGGGCAACCUGGUGGCGAGUGGCGAACGGGUGAGUAAUACAUCGGAACGUGCCCAAUCGUGGGGGAUAACGUAGCGAAAGUUACGCUAAUACCGCAUACGAUCUACGGAUGAAAGCGGGGGAUCGCAAGACCUCGCGCGAGUGGAGCGGCCGAUGUCAGAUUAGGUAGUUGGUGGGGUAAAGGCUCACCAAGCCAACGAUCUGUAGCUGGUCUGAGAGGACGACCAGCCACACUGGAACUGAGACACGGUCCAGACUCCUACGGGAGGCAGCAGUGGGGAAUUUUGGACAAUGGGCGCAAGCCUGAUCCAGCCAUUCCGCGUGCAGGAUGAAGGCCUUCGGUUGUAACUGCUUUGUACGGUACGAACGGCGAGCUCUAAUACAGUUUGCUAAUGACGGUACCGUAAGAAUAAGCACCGGCUAACUACGUAGCCAGCAGCCGCGGUAAU